AUUGCGGGAACAGGGGAAAAGAUUCCAAGCAAAGGGAAGAUCUGAGCAAAGAUCAGGAGGCAAGAGGGAAGAUUUGUGUUUUAGAGAAUUACAACCAGGAGUUUGGACUUGAACUUGGGGAAAUCAGAGGUCGCAGAAGGCCUUAAACAACAGAAGAAUGCUGAAGUUGGAAGUGAGUUUUACAGUACAACACGUGGAACACCUAUUGCAGAGGAAUCAGGAAGAGCAGGCCAGAGGUGUUGGGGAAGCCAUGGAAACUUCUGAAGCUUGACAGGCAGGAAGGAAUACUGUGUGGAUGCUCCAUGGCUCUGAACCCAACAGAAGUGGUUUUGUGACUGUAUAAGGAGCUAGUGACAUCCAUUCCUGCUGAAAUUCCUCAUGAUUAAGACCAAGCUCCAGCCCAUAAGAAGGCAGGGACUGCCGGGAAGUGACUCAGCAAGGGUGGCACAGAUGAUACCAGAUUCUAAGAAUCUAAACUAUGUGGUUUGACGGAGCACCCUUGACUACUAAGCUGUUCUCUUCUUUCCUUCUGUGGCUUUGGCCUAGAAGAGGGUGUCAGGUUUGGUUAUAUCCAUCCUCAAACUCUGUAGAAUAGUUGUACAGGGCCCUAUGAGCUCCCUGUAACCCUGUAACUCUAAGCCUAAAGGCCUGAGCUAAAGGCAUAGUCAAGGUAUUUACAAUACAAAGCAAGGAGAACCAAGGGGGAGCUAAACACCACAGGCUUUACUUGAAUAAAUGAGGAGAUCUCAUUAUACAAUCUCCCUAUAUGAGUAAGAAAAUUGAGUACCUGAAUAAUUAAAAGAUAAGACCAGGAAGUAAAUAUCAGUAAGGGUGAGCUUCAUCUUGAAGUGAUGGUCAAGAAUGAAGGAUCCCAGGCCAGACUGCCUUGGUUAGAAUCCUGAUUCCACCACUAAUGAGGUGUGCAACUGGGGGGAAGUCAUAUCAUCUCUCCAUGCCUUGAUUUCCCCAUCUGUACAAUGGGAAUAAUAAUAGUCCCUAUCUCACUGGGUUGCUGAAAGAAUUAAAUGAGUCAAUACUUGUAAAGUACUUCAAAAUAGCUCUUGGCACAUAACAAAUGUUUAUAAAGUGUUUUGUUAAAUGAACUGAAGAAAAUCAUCUUUCCCUUUUCAAAUAAGUUGUGUAGACCCUACACUGUAGGGUAACCUGGACAUCUUUUCAGUUCUAGGUGAAGGAGGCCUGAAAAUAGAGAGCUACAUGUGCCCAUGGGUAAAUAUUAAUUGUGAUCCAGCAGACAGAUGUCUUUCUACUAUUAUGUCUUUGUAAUAAAGAAUCUGAACAAAGAAACUG